ACCUUUUUUACUCACGAUGACUUGUAUUAUAUGUGCCAUUUUCAACCAAAAGGGUACUUAUUGUCGAUUGUCAAUAAGGCGCUAUUUCCAUAUAGCUUCAAUUCGAAAUCAACCUUAUCGACGAGCGACAAUGUGGUACCUUUUGGGUUGAAAACGUCACAUAUUAUCCGAAUGUCCUGUCAUCAGUCAUCACCUAUCUCCACAUGUUAUAUGAUGAUCCUUCACAGACCUGUUCUGAAUAUUUUUGAGGAAAAUUUAAUUUAAUAUCUGAUUUAUUUUACUAAAUUUUAUUUUUCUCUAGCGUUUUUGGACGCGUAUAGAUGAAAUUGUUUUAUUUUUCACAGGUAUUCAUUCUCCCACAACGGAUACAUGUUGCUGAUGCAUCAGGUGUUGACUGACUAAAAUAGCUGGAUCAUUUUGUACACAACAGAAAAUGUGUUGACUGACUAAAAUAGCUGGAUCAUUUUGUACACAACAGAAAAUGUGUUGACUGACUAAAAUCGCUGGAUCGCUUUGUCCACAACAGAAAAUACUUCAUCGUGCAUCACAGACGACGCAUUCGCAGCAUUUGUAAUCGACUUUUUUACACGAGGUACUGAAUACGAGUCUGCGAACUGCGAAGCUCAAUUUAAAAGGAAUAUGAUAGUAUAGAAUAUAGAUAAAUAUGAUAUGAAUUUUACAUUAAAUAAACAAAUUAAAC